rnacentral:rRNA from 1 species
UAGGGAAUAUUGGACAAUGGGUGAGAGCCUGACCCAGCAACGCCGCGUGAAGGAUGAAGUAUUUCGGUAUGUAAACUUCGAAAGAAUAGGAAGAAUAAAUGACGGUACUAUUUAUAAGGUCCGGCUAACUACGUGCCAGCAGCCGCGGUAAUACGUAGGGACCAAGCGUUGUUCGGAUUUACUGGGCGUAAAGGGCGCGUAGGCGGCAAUUCAAGUCAUCUGUGAAAUCUCCGGGCUUAACUCGGAACGGUCAGAUGAUACUGCUUUGCUAGAGUGCAGAAGGGGCAAUCGGAAUUCUUGGUGUAGCGGUGAAAUGCGUAGAUAUCAAGAGGAACACCUGAGGUGAAGACGGGUUGCUGGGCUGACACUGACGCUGAGGCGCGAAAGCCAGGGGAGCAAACGGGAUUAGAUACCCCCGUAGUCCCUGAGCGGGCUGGCAAGGCGCAU